AAAAGCUGUAGGUGCGGCCAGGUGUAUUUUAGAAAACAAACGAACAAUCACAGAACAGCUCCGCUGCCUAGAUACCCAUGCCGAGGUAUUUUGACUGUGGCAGCGCAGCGCAGAUUGAGCUGCAAGAGGAAAGUUUCAUACAGGUCCAGCAAGUUCCAACCGGGUCCACCACAAUGACAGGGGGGCGGUCUCUGAGAGGGUGCGACCCCUCUUUGUGAUUGGAUGACAGUCUGUCAGAGGGAAAGAGAGGAGAGAAGGAGGAAGAGAAGAUAAGAAUGUCUCGAAACAUCAACUUUGAACUAAACCCCCACCUCCUAGAAGCUGGACUAGAGUGAGAAGCUCUCCUUUCCU